GGCACGCCCUGACGCACCGCAUGCAUCUCCUGGCCAUCGGGCGGGAAAGGAACAUCCAUGAGGCGGAGCCACACGUGGGGGGUGGGGGGAGGCGACGGAGAUGAGCCGCCAUAGGCCGUUAGAGCCUCGCCGGCGACGAAGGGGACGCCAUGCCUGAAACCCUAGCCACCGUUGAGGGUCGGGAGCGAGUGUGGGAGGCCUCUAGCGACGGAUCUGGAGGGAUGGGAGGAAGGAGAGGGGCGAGGGGAGGUCGUUGGUCUGCCACACGCCGCCGGGACUCGCCGGAAUCGGCCGUCGUGAGUGAUGGCGGCGGCGAGGAGUCGCGGGGCAAGAGAGAUAUCGUGAGAGAGGAGACGGGAGAAGACUGGCGUGUGAGAGCAGGGAUCGAUCGGUCGAUGCUUUUUUUUACUCUUCCCCUUCAGCACAGUAAAAU
rnacentral:rRNA from 1 species